rnacentral:lncRNA from 1 species
GGGGCCUGUGGCUGAGGGUUUUCGCUGAAGCAUGAAUGACAAAGCCCAUAGCCAAACCCCAGGAACCUCCAAAGGAGACUCCCAAGGAGUGGGGUUUCAGAAGACCAUAGGAAGGAAGGGAGCCAGGGACAGAAUCAGAGCCAGAUGGACAGAACAAAAACUCAAGGGUUUUAUUCCUAUUUUUUGCAAAGAAAUAACAAAUAAUAAUCGAUGGAGAGGAAAUACCGGCGUCAGGGAUAUGAAUGGUGACAAAGUCACAGGUGAGGGAACAAAGCUCAGGAAGGCUGUUUCAGUGCUCAGGCCACUCCCAGCAAGUUCUAAACCGCCCAGGCUGUCCUCAAAGCCUGUGGACAUGCCAGAGCCCAGCGGCCUCUUAGAAUCAGAGAGAGCUGACGGUGGGCCUGGGCACACCCUGGGCAGGGGCCUACAAAACCCUGGCACCAGAGGACAGCAGCUGCCAGGUUCCCGUGAGGCUGACCCCUUAUAUCUUAUUUAGAGACAGGGUCUCGCCUAGUUACUUGGGGCCUUGCUAAGUUGCUGAGGCUGGCUUUGAACUUGGCAUCCUCCUGCCGCAGCCUCCUGGGCUACUGGUGUCACAGGCGUGUCCACUGUGCCCAGAUUCAAGAAUAUUUGAACUAGGAGUGCCUUCAGGGAGACUGCAGUGGACACAGCUUGCAGGAGCAGAUGUGAGUAACCCAUGAAAACUCCCGGGAGAGGAUGCAAAGGUGACUGGGGGGAGAACACCUGCUGUGCCUCUGGGGACGCUGUGGGCCAGGGGGGACUUGGUGGUGCUGAGGACUGCAGAGCAUCCAACAUCUGGGCUCUGUGCCCAUGAGGGGUGUGGAGAGAUGGCCACCCUUCCUGGAAGACAAGGAGUCACCUAAACCCCAGAAGUGGCAGUGGGAGCAGAAAGUGGGACCAUGCCUGGGCAGCUGCACCUGGCUGAGAUGAUGGCCGGGGACUUGGGGUGGCCAUGCCUGGACGACUACCCUGGGCUGAGGCCCAAGUCAGUUCUACAAUCCGAGAGGCAGAGUGGCUGCCUGCCCCCAACAAUCCCCUCUUCCCUGAAAACAAGCACACUGGGGAGAAGUCCCACCAGGUGGCAGCACCCCUCAGGGUGGCGAGGAGGGGAGCCUACCUGGGGAGGUGAGGAGUGGGGAGGAACCCCACCUAGGGGGAUGGGGGAGGAAGCCCACCUGUGGGGGACUGGGGGAGAGGAAUCCUACCUAGGGGGACUGGGGCGGGGAGGGGAGGAAGAAGGAGGAAGCCCACCAGGAGAGACUGAGGGGGAGGAGGAAGCCCACUUGGGGGGACAGAGAUACGGGGGAGAAUGCCCACCUCUGGGAAGCUGAAACAGGCAGCCACUAUGCCCACUACCCACUAUGCACCUCGCCCUCCACCUGGGCCGCCCUGAGCAGAAUGUGGGCAGGCAGCAGAGCCAGCACUAGA